GCUAGCUAGGAGUAGCAAGGUAUCUAAAGAUAGAAGGUAGUAGGCUAGAUUCACUGUCGAGAUAGCUUUGCUUUGAGCUACGAAGAUUACCAGUCUCUUUUUCCACAUAGUGACUUUGACGGAUUGGGACACUUGGGACUCACACCUGCUCAUGGAGCAAGCCACAUGAUCUUCAUCACUUGGAAGCCCCUACCCCUGACC
rnacentral:lncRNA from 1 species